UACGUAGGGGGCAAGCGUUGUCCGGAUUUAUUGGGCGUAAAGAGCUCGUAGGCGGCCAACUAAGUCGGAUGUGAAAUCCCCAGGCUUAACCUGGGAACUGCAUCCGAUACUGGAUGGCUUGAAUCCGGGAGAGGGAUGCAGAAUUCCAGGUGUAGCGGUGAAAUGCGUAGAUAUCUGGAGGAAUACCGGUGGCGAAGGCGGCAUCCUGGACCGGCAUUGACGCUGAUGAGCGAAAGCUAGGGGAGCAAACGGG
rnacentral:rRNA from 1 species